rnacentral:lncRNA from 1 species
CACAAAUGAAAGAAAGCUUUUGGUUGCUGGUCUUGAAGCAGUUAUUCAAGAUUUACAAGAUAUGAAGGAUAUUACUAAAGAAACAGUUAAAAAAUCCAAAAAACAGCUUUUGGAAGCACUAUGUGAACAAAAAGGGUUGUUAUUGGAAAAGUUGUCAUCAAAUCUGAAAGAUUUGAAGCAAACACAGGCUCUUGCAGUUGCUCAACCGGGCAGUAUUAAUGAGCAAAAUAUACAAGAACUCAAUGAACAAAGAAGGCUAUUGUCUAUAGGCUUAGAGGGAAUUGUACAAAAUAUUCAACAUAUACAGAAUCUUAAAUCAAGCGAAACCGAACUAUUAACACCCGGUGGUAAGUACAGAAUUAAAAUUGUUAUCAGAUG